AACUUAGUGGCGGACGGGUGAGUAACGCGUGGGUAACCUGCCCUUUUGUGGGAAACAACUUCGAGAAAUCGGAGCUAAUACCGCAUAAUAAUAGAGGAUCGCAUGAUUCUUUAAGGAAAGAUGGCCUCUGAAGAUGCUAUCGCAAAAGGAUGGACCCGCGUCUGAUUAGCUAGUUGGAAGGGUAACGGCCUACCAAGGCAACGAUCAGUAGCCGGCCUGAGAGGGUGAACGGCCACAUUGGGACUGAGACACGGCCCAAACUCCUACGGGAGGCAGCAGUGGGGAAUCUUCCGCAAUGGGCGAAAGCCUGACGGAGCAAUGCCGCGUGAGUGAAGAAGGCCUUCGGGUUGUAAAACUCUGUCCUUAUCGAAGAGAGGUAGGUAUGUGAAUAAUGUACCUAUAGGACGGUAGAUAAGGAGGAAGCCCCGGCUAACUACGUGCCAGCAGCCGCGGUAAUACGUAGGGGGCGAGCGUUGUCCGGAAUCACUGGGCGUAAAGGGCGCGUAGGCGGUUUAAUAAGUCAGUGGUGAAAACUGAGGGCUCAACCCUCAGCCUGCCACUGAUACUGUUAGACUUGAGUAUGGAAGAGGAGAAUGGAAUUCCUAGUGUAGCGGUGAAAUGCGUAGAUAUUAGGAGGAACACCAGUGGCGAAGGCGAUUCUCUGGGCCAAGACUGACGCUGAGGCGCGAAAGCGUGGGGAGCAAACAGGAUUAGAUACCCUGGUAGUCCACGCCGUAAACGAUGGAUACUAGGUGUUAGUAGUUUCGAUGCUACUAGUGCCGGAGUAAACACAAUAAGUAUCCCGCCUGGGGAGUACGGUCGCAAGACUGAAACUCAAAGGAAUUGACGGGGGCCCGCACAAGCGGUGGAGCUUGUGGUUUAAUUCGACGCAACGCGAAGAACCUUACCAAGACUUGACAUCCUCCUGACAAGAUAUGUAAUGUAUCUCUUUUCUUCGGAGACAGGAGAGACAGGUGGUGCAUGGUUGUCGUCAGCUCGUGUCGUGAGAUGUUGGGUUAAGUCCCGCAACGAGCGCAACCCUUAUUUCUAGUUGCCAGCAGUAAGAUGGGGACUCUAGAGAGACUGCCAGUGACAAACUGGAGGAAGGUGGGGAUGACGUCAAAUCAUCAUGCCCCUUAUGUCUUGGGCUACACACGUGCUACAAUGGUCAGAACAGAGGGAAGCGAAGCCGCGAGGUGGAGCAAAUCCCAGAAAACUGAUCUCAGUUCGGAUUGCAGGCUGCAACCCGCCUGCAUGAAGUCGGAAUCGCUAGUAAUCGCGGGUCAGCAUACCGCGGUGAAUACGUUCCCGGGCCUUGCACACACCGCCCGUCA
rnacentral:rRNA from 1 species